UGCCAGACUCCUACGGGAGGCAGCAGUGGGGAAUAUUGCACAAUGGGGGGAACCCUGAUGCAGCAACGCCGCGUGGGUGAAGAAGUACUCCGGUAUGUAAAGCCCUGUCAGCAGGGAAGAAAAUGACGGUACCUGACCAAGAAGCCCCGGCUAACUACGUGCCAGCAGCCGCGGUAAUACGUAGGGGGCAAGCGUUAUCCGGAUUUACUGGGUGUAAAGGGAGCGUAGACGGCAAGGCAAGUCUGGAGUGAAAGCCCGUGGCCCAACCACGGGACUGCUCUUGGAACUGCGCGGCUGGAGUGCAGGAGGGGCAGGCGGAAUUCCUGGUGUAGCGGUGAAAUGCGUAGAUAUCAGGAGGAACACCGGUGGCGAAGGCGGCCUGCUGGACUGCGACUGACGUUGAGGCUCGAAAGCGUGGGGAGCAAACAGGAUUAGAUACCCGUGUA
rnacentral:rRNA from 1 species